rnacentral:lncRNA from 10 species
CCCAAUCAAUCCACAGCACAUUUUUAUUCAGUCAUAAAAAAUGUACCAUGACAAAUAUUAACAAUGACAGAUAAAACAAACAUUUCACUUGUCUUCCAGUCAGGGUGUGAAAUCUGCAUUCUUAACUAUGUAAACUCCACCAUGGCCCAUCCUAAAAUCAUUUUGCAGAAUGAACUCAACAUUUGAAAAGAAACGAGUUUACUAUAUCCACUCUGUGAAGCUAGAUAACCCUAGAACAUAACUAAAAAUUUUAUUUCACAGGAUAAUUCUGGCAUGUUACCAAUAAAUUCUACUUGAAGCCUCAACUUUCAAUAGGUGCUUACCUCCUCCCCUUUGGUUUCUCAGAAAAUAAAAGAUUAGCAUAGUGCUAGUCUCAGAUAUUCACUGAAUAACGUGAACAUGAAUUUAGAAGUACUAAACUGGCAAUAACAAUGAAGAUGAUUGUAAAUGAUAUUCCUCCAGCCAAAAGGAAUAAAACAGAAAUUUAAACUGGACAUAUUUACUGGAUGCGAAGUCCAAGAACGUGAGUUAAGGACACACAGUAGUGUGUGAAGAAAACAAAAUCCACAGUACCCACACAUGUAUGAGGAGUUAAAAGUAAUCUCUACAUCAGGACUAUGUAAAGAUUUGCCACAGGAAAAUCUUUAAAUCUCAAAAAGAUAUUUAAAUAUCUUUAAUAUCAAUUUAAAUUUAAUAUCCUUAAAUAUCAGGAAAAUAUCAAUCUUUAUAAUAUCAAGAAAUAACUCAUCUUUUCCCACCACUAGACGAAACGUGCAUUGGAGACUGACCUGGAAAUUCAGCGUCCCAGAUGGCUACAAAACAAGGACAACUAGAAGUAGUUAUGAAUUCUAGGAAAUAUAUUCACAAGUGUGUAAAGAUUCUAUAGUAUUGAACACUUAGUCAAAGGAGUCCUACUUGAAUUCUCAAAUCAAUGACAAAGUUGCUUCCUCUCUACCCAAGAUCAGGAGCUUCCCUAGUUUGCACAUAUCCACAUUGACCAGUGGCUAUAAAGUCACACUGCGAUUAUCUGGGUCAUUUUAAAAUAGGUCAUUAGCAGUACUUGUAGUAUCGCGUCUGUCUAAAAAUCCUCCAACACCGAGUGACUUUUAAACUUUGGGGUGCCUUGGUAACCCCAGGGACGCUUAUUAGACAUGCAGACUCCGGGGCCCAAGCUCCAGACUAAUUCCAUGGGAAUAGGGCGGGUCCCGAAACCGGCAUUUUUAAUCAUCUGCCCGGGUGAAUCCGAAGUGUGGUCCAAAAGCCACAGUCGAGGUGCCUCUGCCUAACAAGCUCCACAGAAAGCUCCGACUUCAGCCGCCCCGACGGCGAUACGGACGCCGAGUUAGGCUGUCGGGGGUCUGUCUGGCGGCCGCGGGAAGGGACUCGGGGCCGGCGCGUCCACUAGCGACGUCCGGCCCGAGGUGAGAAGGGACUGACAAUGGUACCGCAGUUAUUUUCAAUAUUUCCAUAAAGUCCCACGAAGCCGUGUGGCCGUGGGAAAAGGGCUUUAACUUUGAAAUCCCACGGGUCAGGUUACCACCAGCUCUGCCGCCUCCUAACAGCGCGUCCCCGCAGUUCCCUUAACGUUCGGGCCUCAGUUUCCCGAUCCGUGCAACGGGCUCACGCCAUCUCCGGAAGGCUAAGCCGAAACGAAACUAACUCCGCCGCUCGCAGACACUUCCUGGCUCUGCUCAGCGCGGCCCAGCCUCCCCAGCCGCCCGGGAGGAGUACCCGGCCCAAGCGCGUCGCGCAGGCAGUCGCCUCCCAACGCCCCCGGCCCUCGGCCGGCCACUCACGGGGCUGUAGGAGCUGGACCAAUUCUUGCUGAACAAAUGGAAGAAGAAAUGAAUGUU